rnacentral:rRNA from 1 species
UACGUAGGGUGCAAGCGUUGUCCGGAAUUAUUGGGCGUAAAGCGCGUGUAGGCUGCUUCGCAAGUCGGAUGUGAAAGCCCUGGGCUCAACCCAGGAAGUGCAUUCGAAACUGCAGAGCUGGAGUCCUGGAGAGGAAGGCGGAAUUCUCGGUGUAGAGGUGAAAUUCGUAGAUAUCGAGAGGAACACCGGUGGCGAAGGCGGCCUUCUGGACAGUGACUGACGCUGAGACGCGAAAGCGUGGGGAGCAAACAGG